CGAUAACCACUCCGGCACGUCCACUGUUUGAGAUGUA
rnacentral:sRNA from 1 species